rnacentral:rRNA from 1 species
AGGACGAACGCUGGCGGCGUGCCUAACACAUGCAAGUCGAGCGGGGACAUACGACGGAGUCAAAGUUUCGGAUGGAGACGAAGAUGUAUGUUCUAGCGGCGGACGGGUGAGUAACGCGUGAGCAACCUGUCCCUUACAGGGGGAUAACACAGCGAAAGUUGUACUAAUACCGCAUGAGACCACGGGAGGACAUCCUCCAGGGGUCAAAGGAGCAAUCCGGUAAGGGGUGGGCUCGCGUCCGAUUAGAUAGUUGGUGAGGUAACGGCCCACCAAGUCGACGAUCGGUAGCCGACCUGAGAGGGUGAUCGGCCACAUUGGGGCUGAGACACGGCCCAAACUCCUACGGGAGGCAGCAGUGGGGAAUAUUGGGCAAUGGGGGGAAACCCUGACCCAGCAACGCCGCGUGAGGGAAGAAGGUUUUCGGAUCGUAAACCUCUGUCCUUGGUGAAGAGGAAGAGACGGUAGCCAAGGAGGAAGCCCCGGCUAACUACGUGCCAGCAGCCGC